rnacentral:rRNA from 1 species
UACAGAGGUGCCGAGCGUUAGGCGGAAUCACUGGGCUUAAAGCGUGUGUAGGCGGACUUCUAAGUACCUUGUGAAAUCCCACGGCUCACCCGUGGAACUGCUGGGUAUACUGGUCGUCUUGAGCCACCUAGGGGCGAGCGGGAACAAAUGGUGGAGCGGUGAAAUGCGUAGAUAUCAUUUGGAACGCCAACGGUGAAAACAGCUCGCUGGGGGUGUGCUGACGCUGAGACACGAAAGCCAGGGGAGGCGAACGGG